rnacentral:lncRNA from 1 species
AGCAGGUGAGGACGAUGGGACGUGCGUGGCGCAAGUGGUGGUGGUAGGGCAAGUGGGUGACCCUAGGUGCGGCGUACCCAAGGUUAGGAGGAUUAGGGUUUUCUGAUAGUUUUAGGUUUUUUGGGCCAUUGGGUCGUGGGUUAUUGGGUCUUUAGGGCUUGGGUAGGUUUAGGGGUUUGUUGGGUCUGUUAUUAGGCUGGGGUAGUGGUG